GCGUAUGCAACUUACCUUUUACUAGAGAAUAGCCAAGAGAAAUUUUGAUUAAUGCUCUAUGUUCUUAUUUACUCGCAUGAGUAAAUAAGCAAAGCUCCGGCGGUAAAAGAUGGGCAUGCGUCCUAUUAGCUUGUAGGUGAGGUAAUGGCUCACCUAAGCUCCGAUAGGUAGGGGUCCUGAGAGGGAGAUCCCCCACACUGGUACUGAGACACGGACCAGACUUCUACGGAAGGCAGCAGUAAGGAAUAUUGGACAAUGGAGGCAACUCUGAUCCAGCCAUGCCGCGUGAAGGAAGACGGCCUUAUGGGUUGUAAACUUCUUUUAUACAGGAAGAAACCUUUCCACGUGUGGAAAGCUGACGGUACUGUAAGAAUAAGGAUCGGCUAACUCCGUGCCAGCAGCCGCGGUAAUACGGAGGAUCCAAGCGUUAUCCGGAAUUAUUGGGUUUAAAGGGUCCGCAGGCUGUUUGUUAAGUCAGAGGUGAAAUCCUACCGCUCAACGGUAGAACUGCCUUUGAUACUGGCAAACUUGAGUUAUUGUGAAGUAGUUAGAAUGUGUAGUGUAGCGGUGAAAUGCAUAGAUAUUACACAGAAUACCGAUUGCGAAAGCAGAUUACUAACAAUAUACUGACGCUGAGGGACGAAAGCGUGGGUAGCGAACAGGAUUAGAUACCCUGGUAGUCCACGCCGUAAACGAUGGUCACUAGCUGUUCGAUGUACAUUGGUACGUUGAGUGGCUAAGCGAAAGUGAUAAGUGACCCACCUGGGGAG
rnacentral:rRNA from 1 species